UAGUGUUAUAGCUCUUUCAGAAUUUGUCUAGGAGGUCUGCAGGAAGAUCACCCCC
ensembl:snRNA U7 U7 small nuclear RNA